GGUUGAACCUGGUUUUGUGGCAUGCCAAACCUCGCACUUUAAUGGCAAAGUUAAAUAUAACAUUGAAAUGACAACAUAAUAUUACAGGACUACAAUACAAAUAAAUAGGAGAACAUAUUAGACAAAGAAAAACAUGAUUAAUAGAUAACAAAAAGCAUUAGGUUUAAAAUUCAAUACGCCAAAAACGCGCCUUCUCCACACAGGACUUACAAG
rnacentral:lncRNA from 1 species